AUUGAACGCUGGCGGCAUGCUUUGCACAUGCAAGUCGAACGGUAACAGGGUGCUUGCACCGCUGACGAGUGGCGAACGGGUGAGUAAUGCGUCGGAACGUGCCGAGUAGUGGGGGAUAACGCAUCGAAAGGUGUGCUAAUACCGCAUACGUACUGAGGUAGAAAGUGGGGGACCUUCGGGCCUCACGCUAUUCGAGCGGCCGACGUCUGAUUAGCUAGUUGGUGAGGUAAAGGCUCACCAAGGCGACGAUCAGUAGCGGGUCUGAGAGGAUGAUCCGCCAAACUGGGACUGAGACACGGCCCAGACUCCUACGGGAGGCAGCAGUGGGGAAUUGUGGACAAUGGGCGAAAGCCUGAUCCAGCCAUGCCGCGUGUCUGAAGAAGGCCUUCGGGUUGUAAAGGACUUUUGUCGGGGAGGAAAUCCCCAGCGCUAAUACCGCUGGGGGAUGACAGUACCUGAAGAAUAAGCACCGGCUAACUACGUGCCAGCAGCCGCCGUAACAC
rnacentral:rRNA from 1 species